AGCUGGCCUGAAGGUAGUGAAUUAUCUUAAUUCACUGUUCAGUCUGUUACAGAUUGAACUCCUUGUUCCACUCUUUAGCCUCUUCUCACUACUGCACUUGACUAGUCUUAA
ensembl:misc_RNA Y_RNA Y RNA